rnacentral:rRNA from 1 species
AGGACGAACGCUGGCGGCGUGCUUAACACAUGCAAGUCAAGGGGGCCCAGCAAUGGGCAACCGGCGAACGGGUGCGUAACACGUGAGCAACCUACCGAAAUGUGGGGGAUAGCCGGCCUAACGGUCGAGUAAUACCGCAUACGCUCUCGAUGAGGCAUUUCAUUGAGAGGAAACCUACGGGACAUUUCGAGGGGCUCGCGGCCUAUCAGCUAGUUGGCGAGGUAACGGCUCACCAAGGCAAUGACGGGUAGC